AUUGCGCAUUAAAUGCAUGCUUGUCAGAUGUGCAAGAUAAAUUCGUGAUAAAUGAUGAUGAUGAUGAUGAUGAUGAUGAAAAAUAAAUGAUAAAUUCGUAAUGAUCCGUAAUAAAUGAUUCAGCUUUUAUGAACAAUUAAUUCCUGGGAAAAGAUUUUUGAAAAUAAGGGGUCGAGACGUUUGAAUACAAGGGAAUCGCCUCACGUGCGCGCGUAACCAGUAUUUGAAUUUCGCGGGCAAUUACUGAUUAAUCAUAUUUAUCUUCCAAACUUGGGCGCUUGCGAGAAUAAAUUAUCUAUGCAUAUUUGAUGAAAGUAGUACUUUAACGCUAAGAUUGUGUGUAUUGGCAUGCUUUGUCUUUUUUUUCCUUUAACUGUAUUGGAAUGCCAUAACCUUGCAAAGAAAUCAAAACAUGAUGACAACCACUUGUGUGAUACAUGUGGAGACUCGUAGCGGACUUCUCAAGAACUAAGAAAUGGAGACCGGAAAGCUGCGUCUGGUUGGCAAUCGCAUAGACGUAUAUAUACGUCUAUGGGCAAUCGGUUCAUCACGCAAAGAGCAGCGACUGUAGACUAGGAAGAAACUUUCAAGUUUUUCUUUACAUUUGGCAGUUAUUAUUCUAUUCUAGCGCACAACUAUGAUGGAUUUCAAGAUACAUCUAUGCUAGUGAAGCUGUUCUUCUUGGCACAUCAAUCACAUGCUUCUCCGAAAUGCAUUUGAAUCGCUUGCCGAGUUCUGACGAUCUCUUGACGAUGAUCUUUGCUCUGACAAAAUGGUGAGUAUCGUGAAGCCGCGAGCCGUCGGACAGCAGAUUGCGUCGAUGAAGAUACAAAACCUUUCUGGUAAGUUUGUCGAGUGUCAGCAAUAGUUUUUGCGAUGUUUAUAAUAUAUUGAUCGUUUGAAGAUCGCAAUCAAGUGAUUGCAACGUCAACCUUAUCGUAGUUAGAUCACUGAUCGGAUCAAUCGCCAACGAUUACGCAAUGGUGAUGUAUAGAAUCGCGAAACGUGAGAGCCGUGAGUGACCGUGGAAGAGACCUUUGUCUUCAUUAGACUAUCGAUCGGCAAAUGCAUUAUUAUCGGUGCAUGGAUUCCGAAACGAGUCAACUGAAUCACAAACAAGCGAUACUGGAUGAUAAUGUUUGUGCUGAUUUCUCGCGAUUUUACGCGUUUAACGUUUAUAAUUUGUCAGGUGAGGUAAGGUGAUGGCAACGAUACCGUUUUGUAGCGAUUUACUCAUGUCAUCUGAAUUAAAAUAAAAAAAUUCCAUCUUUGACAAAUUUUCGGAUCUUGAGAAUUUUGUGCGAGGACGAGGAAUUAUUGGCCACAUGUCGCGUGUUUUCUAUUUAUUUAUUGUUGUACAAUCCAAUGAAAAGUGUUUCAUGUCGGUGUGAAUUUGCGUUAACCCCAAAUCAAUAUUUGUGAUGCGCAUACUUCGAUUGUACGCAUGGGGAACAAUAUCGGGAAUAAAUUUUCCGGUAUUUCUAUCCGCUUGCGGUUCAUUGAUAGACAUAUUAAUGUGUACAUGUGUAACGAAACAAAUGAAAUCGGCUUGUUACUUGUAACUGCGAUACUAUAAUCGUACGUAUCCAAUAAACGCCGGAGGCUGCUGAAAGCUCAAGCUAAUUCGAAAACGGCAACUGCGUCGUAGAUAUUAUUCAUCGGAUAUAUUUCCACGAGAUAGUAAGUAGCGAAAAGGGAAUCCCGAGCGAGGCGGUGCAUCGCGAUAACCGCAUUAAUUAUGCAAACAUUUUUCUGGAUAGAUGCAUUAUCUGUUAGAAAGUUGUAAUUUACUCAACAAUAUCAAGUUUUCGAAUAUAGUAUGUAAAGU